rnacentral:rRNA from 1 species
UGGGGAAUAUUGGACAAUGGGCGCAAGCCUGAUCCAGCCAUGCCGCGUGUGUGAAGAAGGCCUUCGGGUUGUAAAGCACUUUUGUCCGGGAAGAAAUCGGAUCGGUUAAUACCCGGUUCGGAUGACGGUACCGGAAGAAUAAGCACCGGCUAACUUCGUGCCAGCAGCCGCGGUAAUACGAAGGGUGCAAGCGUUACUCGGAAUUACUGGGCGUAAAGCGUGCGUAGGCGGUUCGUUAAGUCCGUUGUGAAAGCCCUGGGCUCAACCUGGGAAUGGCAGUGGAUACUGGCGAGCUAGAGUGUGAUAGAGGAUGGUGGAAUUCCCGGUGUAGCGGUGAAAUGCGUAGAGAUCGGGAGGAACACCAGUGGCGAAGGCGGCCAUCUGGAUCAACACUGACGCUGAGGCACGAAAGCGUGGGGAGCAAACAG